UACAGAGGUCUCAAGCGUUGUUCGGAUUCAUUGGGCGUAAAGGGUGCGUAGGCGGCGCGGUAAGUCGGGUGUGAAAUCUCGGGGCUUAACUCCGAAACUGCAUUCGAUACUGCCGUGCUGGAGGACUGGAGAGGAGACUGGAAUUUACGGUGUAGCGGUGAAAUGCGUAGAUAUCGUAAGGAAGACCAGUGGCGAAGGCGGGUCUCUGGACAGUUCCUGACGCUGAGGCACGAAGGCCAGGGGAGCAAACGGG
rnacentral:rRNA from 1 species